GAUGAACGCUGGCGGCGUGCCUAAUACAUGCAAGUCGAGCGAACGGACGAGAAGCUUGCUUCUCUGAUGUUAGCGGCGGACGGGUGAGUAACACGUGGAUAACCUACCUAUAAGACUGGGAUAACUUCGGGAAACCGGAGCUAAUACCGGAAAAUAUUUUAACCGGCUUGUUUCAAAGGGGAAGAAGGGCCUUGCUGUAACUAUUAGAUGAAUCCGCGCUGCAUUAGCUAGUUGGUAAGGUAACGGCUUACCAAGGCAACGAUGCAUAGCCGACCUGAGAGGGUGAUCGGCCACACUGGAACUGAGACACGGUCCAGACUCCUACGGGAGGCAGCAGUAGGGAAUCUUCCGCAAUGGGCGAAAGCCUGACGGAGCAACGCCGCGUGAGUGAUGAAGGUCUUCGGAUCGUAAAACUCUGUUAUUAGGGAAGAACAUAUGUGUAAGUAACUGCGCACAUCUUGACGGUACCUAAUCAGAAAGCCACGGCUAACUACGUG
rnacentral:rRNA from 1 species